rnacentral:sRNA from 1 species
GCAAGCUAUCCCUCGCUGCUAAGCUAUCGCUGCCAAUCUCUCUAUUGCUGCAAGCUAUCCCUCGCUGCUAAGCUAUCGCUGCCAACCUCUCUAUUGCUGCAAGCUAUCCCUCACUGCUAAGCUAUCGCUGCCAACCUCUCUAUUGCUGCAAGCUAUCCCUCACUGCUAAGCUAUCGCUGCCAACCUCUCUAUUGCUGCAAGCUAUCCCUCACUGCUAAGCUAUCGCUGCCAACCUAUCUAGCGCUGCCAAUUUAUCUACCACUGCCAAUCUAUCUAUUGCUGCUAAUCUAUCGCUGCUGUCAAUCUAUCUAUCGCUGCUAAUCUAUCUAUCACUGCUAAUCUAUCGCCGCUGCCAAUCUAUCCCUCACUGCUAAGCUAUCCCUCGCUGCUAAGCUAUCACUGCCAAUCUAUCGCUGCUAAUCUAUCGCUGCCAACCUAUCUACCGCAGCGAAUCUAUCUAUCGCUGCCAAUUUAUCUACCACUGCCAAUCUAUCUAUCACUGCCAAUCUAUUGCUGCUAAUCUAUCGCUGCUAAUCUAUCGCUGCUGCCAAUCUAUCUUUCGCUGCUAAUCUAUCGCCGCUGCCAAUCUAUCCCUCGCUGCUAAGCUAUCCCUCGCUGCUAAGCUAUCCCUCACUGCUAAGCUAUCUCUCGCUGCUAAGCUAUCCCUCACUGCUAAGCUAUCCCUCGCUGCUAAGCUAUCCCUCACUACUAAGCUAUCUAUCACUGCUAAUCUAUCGCUGCCAACCUAUCUAUCACUGCCAAUCUAUCUAUCACUGCUAAUCUAUCGCUGCUAAUCUAUCGCUGCUAAUCUAUCACUGCUAAUCUAUCGCUGCCAACCUAUCUACCGCGGCGAAUCUAUCUAUCACUAUCAUUACUAGUUCAAAAUAGAACUAGAGCAUAAAUACACUAAACUUCUUUUGAUAGAUAAUGAUUUUUGGUAACACUCAUAGCAUUAUAUCAUCUAUAUAGGGUAAAUCAUGGUCCCAUUUGGUCCCAUUUGGUUAAAAUGGGACCAAAUGGGACCAGAAUCAGUAAUUUAUAAGAAGAACAUGACCUGAGACUAGAUUUAUAAUAUAAACAGUGUAAAGUGACUAAUUUAAUAAACACUAUAUGGGACC